CUUUUUUUUAAAUCAAGGGUCGCAUUCAAACAAAGAAUAUUGUAUUUUAUGAUUCAAACAUAAGAACUUUAGCUAACUGUCGAAAUACACAUAAAGCUAAAAAGCAAACUAAACUUGUGUUAUACUGUUAGCUAACAAUAUACCUCUACUGAAAUAGGAUAGUGUAAGUUGAUAACAACAACCGCUUUAACAACAUUUAAUAUAAAUUUGUAUUUUUUUAGAUUCGAAAAUGAAACUUAAUACUUAAGUGUGCAUCAAUAUAUUACGUUUUUUGCAUUUUUUAAAAAUUCUUAUUAACAUUUUUUUCUGUUUUUGAGAAAAAACGGGCAGAAUGUUUGUUGUCGUUUUCAUUGGCUGUUAGACGUGCCACGAGUACAACGAGUUCGAAGGCUUGUUUGUAUUACGGUUUGAAUGUUUAACGUCGGAAAGGAUAAUUUAGGUUGUGUCGUUUUCCGCUACUAUGCUAAAAGAUCAGCUAUUGUAGCCUAGUUGGAAGUGCAAUUAAUAGUUAUAUAUAUAAUUGAUAGUUGGCAACUGAACAUGCUAGAACAGCUAACAGUAUCUUUACACAAAAAAUAAACAUUUAAGUAAUAGGCUACCCAUUUUCAUUUUAAUUUUUCUCAUUGUCAAGAUCUGGUUUAUAAUCAAACUGUUAUCUCUUUAAAAUAUGUCGGCACAAGGAUUUCAAGAAGAUGAGUAUGAACAUUACAAUUAUGAACAAGAUAAAUUGACAGGACAUGGGGGCAAAGGUCGUUCCAAAAAGGAAUCUGCUCAGCACCAUGUAAAAGAUGUCAGCCACAAGGCACCAGAAGUUAUUGCUAAUGCAGAAGAAAAACGAAAACGUGAGCAAAAAGAAAAGACGACAAAAUCCUAAGAACUUGAAAUUUGGUUGUUAAAACUUAUAGACUGAAGCCCAAUUUUUGGUGAGGUGCAAUGUUUGUUUCUAAAACUUUUUCCUGCAACCGUUUUAUGCUACUGUUAAUGUAAUUGUAGUUGCAGCAAUACGUUAUUACAUGCAUAUAAUACAAUUAGGUAAAAUUCAGUACAAAAUGGUUUGGAGAUUUUGUUGAUUUUUGUGCAAUUAAAUUUUUGUGAAUAAUGAUUUAUAAAGAAAAAUCUUCUUUUCUACUCUGUUUCAAGUAGAUCAAGUAAAACUUUUAUUGCACAACAUCCUUUUGAUUGUUUGGUGUAAACUUUUAUAUUUGAUGUGUGAAAAAAUCGAAGUGGGGAUACUGAAUCAUGUAUUUAUUUACCCACAUGGUGAGCAAACCAAAAAAUUAUUUAUCAAUUAAAACCAAACAAUACACCAUUCAUGCCUAA